GACCACGUUGGCUCAGUUGGCAGAGCAUUGGGCUAGUAUUCCAAAGGUCGUAGGUUCGAUUCCCACCGUGGUCA
rnacentral:tRNA from 1 species